rnacentral:lncRNA from 1 species
CAGAGAGGAAGUCCCUGUACCCUGUGGAGGAAGAGAGGCCUUGAUGUGUACCCUGUGGAGGAAGAGAGGCCUUGAUGGAGAGAACCCAGAGGCCAAAGGCCAGCACCACCUGCUUGGCAUCGACUACUUCUUGGAAGAGCAGUGGAGAGAAAAAUAUUGUUUCUUUUUCUUGGGAAAUUGGCAGAGACAUGCUGAAGAAAUCAGCUACAGCUGUUCUCCACACCUGGAUAAAUUUUUAAUAAGAACUUAACACACCCGCCCUCCAGAAAGGGUGGUCUGUGGUGUCGAUGGUGUUGUCUCUCCCAGGGCUCUUCUGGGCAGCUUUCUCUGUGACCUGGAGAGCGAAGAGUCUAUUUCCAUCACAUUUCAGCUGCCAAACUCCCCUUUAA